AUGAAGGAAGUGGUAAGAAAGGAAAUACUAAAGCUUCUGGAGGCAGGUAUUAUUUAUCCCGUUGCUGAUAGUCAGUCGGUAAGUCCUGUCCAUUGUGUCCCAAAGAAGGGAGGUAUUACCGUCGUUCCUAAUGAUAAAGAUGAAUUGAUUCUGCAAAAAAUUAUUACAGGUUAUAGGAUGGUAAUUGAUUCCUGCAAAUUAAAUAAAGCUACUAAAAAAGAUCAUUACCCCUUACCUUUUAUCGAUCAAAUGCUAGAAAGAUUAUCCAAACAUACUAUUUUUUGCUUUCUAGAUGGUUAUUCCGGUUUCUCUCAAAUAUCUGUGUCAGCCAAUGAUCAAUCAAAGACUACUUUUACUUGCCCUUUUGGUACUUUUGCUUAUAGACGUAUGCCUUUUGGUUUAUGUAAUGCACCUGCUACCUUUCAAAGAUGCAUGAUGGCUUUAUUCUCUGACUUUUGUGAAAAGAUUUGUGAGGUUUUCAUGGACGAUUUCUCCGUCUAUGGAUCCUCUUUUGAUGAUUUCUUAAGCAAACUUGAUCAAGUUUUGCACAGAUAUGAAGAAACUAACCUUGUCGUGAAUUGGGAGAAGUGCCAUUUUAUGGUUAAUGAAGGUAUUGUCUUGGGGCAUAAGGUUUUUGAAAGAGGUAUUGAAGUUGGUAAAGCUAAAGUUGAUGCUAUUGAAAAGAUGCCUUGCCCCAAGGACAUCAAAGGUAUAAGAAGUUUCCUUGGUCACAACGGUUUUUAUAGGAGGUUCAUUAAGGACUUCUCAAAAAUUUCUCGGCCUCUGACUAAUUUAUUACAAAAAGAUAUACAAUUUGCUUUUGAUGAUGAUUGUGUAGAAGCAUUUGAAAUACUUAAGAAAACAUUAAUCUCUGCACCUAUUGUUCAACCACCUGAUUGGAAUUUACCUUUUGAAAUAAUGUGUGAUGCUAGUGAUUAUGUUGUAGGUGUUGUUCUAGGGCAAAGAGUUGAUAAGAAAUUAAAUGUUAUUCAAUAUGCUAGUAAAACUCUAGACAAUGCUCAGAGAAAUUAUGCUACUACUGAAAAGGAAUUCUUAGCAGUUGUAUUUGCUUGUGAUAAGUUCAGACCUUAUAUUGUUGAUUCUAAAGUAACUAUUCACACGGAUCAUGUUGGUAUUAAAUAUCUUAUGGAAAAGAAAGAUGCUAAGCCUAGACUUAUUAGAUGGGUUCUCCUGCUAUAA
rnacentral:rRNA from 1 species